UUCAAUUUCAACAGUGCCAAGAAGUGUCUUGUGUACAACAAAAGAGGAAUCUACUUGUAAGAAACAACCCAAAAUUACAAGAAACUCAAAUCUGUAAGAAAACAACCUAAAAUUUAAACAAAACUUCACACAUGUUAAACUUAUUAAGUUCAUUAGGGAAGUAAAGGAUAAACAUAAAGUUCUUAAAGUUAGGGACUUGGGAAUUAAACCCUGCUAUUUGCUGGCAAUGGCAAAACACCAUCAAAGAAAUCACCAAAGUAACCACGCGGCUCGUGUACUAGCUUUGAGAUGAUGUCUCUGAGUGUGAUUACCCCCUCAAGAUUUCCCAUGUCAUCGACAACAUAGAUCCUGUGGAUCUUCUUUGAGUCGAGCUUCAUGAUAACGUCUUUAAGGCUGUCACCUCUUCUGCAAGUAACCAUGUGGCUUAAGAACGGGGAGUUCUUUUCGUGCUCCCCCUGAUACCUUCUAACAGAUGUCAGGAAGUUCUUUGCUGUUAUAGAUCUGUAGUCCUUGUAAAUUUCGGGAGCAAUCAGGAGGAACUGAAUAUCUCUGAUGCUUAUAUUACCAAUAGCCUUCCUGCCACCACUUUCAACCACGGGGACUCCUCCAACACCCUUCUGUCUCAUCAACUUGAAUGCCUGCAGCACUGGUUCAUCCUCUUCCACCUGAAUGAUGCUACUUGGCUUCAUUAAAGGAAGACCAAGUUCAUACAAUUUCUUAGAACCCCAGCUCUCGAACCAAUGGAGACCAGCACAUUCUUCUAGCAUGUGUAUAACAGCAGGUUGAGUUAUGAUGUUAUCAAUCUUAUAUUCCCCUAAAUCAACCACAGGAACACUCUUCAUCUUGUAUUUAGAUAACAAGAGAAGCAUUGUCAGAAAGGAGUUCGAUUUCUGCAAAGCCAGAAAUGGAGCCCAGCGGAAUGAACCUGAAAUGUCCCGAACCUUUGUGUUCUUGUAGAGAUCUGACGAAGUUAAUGUCUCAAAAAAGUUACCAGAAGUCGCUGUUGGAGAUUCAGGAUGCAAACUUCUGAAUCUCGGAGAAGCGACUCCAUUAACAGCUGCAGCCAAAGCAGGGCUGAGAGUAUCAUCUGCUCCAUUCAUUACCGAAUCAAAAGCAGAGGUGCCCUCCAUCUUUUCCGACUGAUGGAGGAUCCACACGACAAUGCCGGCGAAUUCCACUAUGCCAAUAUAUCUAUCAAUCCAAGUAGCAUCUUCAGGGGCAUCAACAUCCACAACAGGUGCACUUAGUAUUUUGUGCUGUGAUAGUAACUUAACAGCUUCGGCCAAAGUUGCAUCAGAAUUUAUCUCAAUAACUUGAUUAGAAGGAGCAGGAGGGAAAUCAGAAACAGGAAUGUUUUCAAAACAUGCGUUGAGCUUUUCAGUAGGACUAAGCUGUGGUUCUUGUAUAUCCCAUAGAUCUUCUACUUGCAUACCAACUUUUGCUUCUGGGCUUCUUGGUGUUUGACAUCCUUCUUCCAUCACCAUUUUUUUUUU
rnacentral:misc_RNA from 1 species